rnacentral:rRNA from 1 species
UACGUAGGGGACGAGCGUUGUCCGGAAUUACUGGGCGUAAAGGGCGCGCAGGCGGUAUAUCAAGUCAGCUGUCAAAGACUGGGGCUCAACCCUGGUAUGCGGUUGAAACUGAUAUGCUGGAGUGCUGUAGAGGCAAGUGGAAUUCCCAGUGUAGCGGUGAAAUGCGUAGAUAUUGGGAAGAACACCGGUGGCGAAGGCGACUUGCUGGGCAGCAACUGACGCUGAGGCGCGAAAGCCAGGGGAGCAAAACGGGGAUUAGA